rnacentral:rRNA from 1 species
CCUACGGGUGGCAGCAGUGAGGAAUAUUGGUCAAUGGCCGGGAGCCUGAACCAGCCAAGCAGCGUGAAGGAUGACUGUGCCACGCAUUGUAAACUUCUUUUGUCAAGGGAUAAAGUGAGGCCCGAGUGCCUGAUCGAGUGUACUUUAUGAAUAAGCAUCAGCUAACUCCGUGCCAGCAGCCGCGGUAAUACGGAGGAUCCGAGCGUUAUCCGGAUUUAUUGGGUUUAAAGGGUGAGUAGAUGGAUUGUUAAGUCAGCUGUGAAAGCUUGCGGCUCAACCGCAGGAGAGCGGUUGAUACUGGCAGUCUUGAGAUGACGAGAGGUAUGCGGAAUGCGUAGUGUAGCGGUGAAAUGCUUAGAUAUUGCGAAGAACUCCGAUUGCGAAGGCAGCAUAC